CCUACGGGAGGCAGCAGUGGGGAAUAUUGCGCAAUGGGGGAAACCCUGACGCAGCAACGCCGCGUGAAGGAUGAAGGCCUUCGGGUUGUAAACUUCUUUGAUUGGGGAAGAAGAAAGUGACGGUACCCAAAAAACAAGCCACGGCUAACUACGUGCCAGCAGCCGCGGUAACACGUAGGUGGCGAGCGUUGUCCGGAAUUACUGGGUGUAAAGGGCGUGUAGGCGGGGUAGCAAGUCAGAUGUGAAAUUCCAGGGCUCAACCCUGGAGCUGCAUCUGAAACUGCUGCUCUUGAGUGUCGGAGAGGAAAGUGGAAUUCCUAGUGUAGCGGUGAAAUGCGUAGAGAUUAGGAGGAACACCAGUGGCGAAGGCGGCUUUCUGGACGAUAACUGACGCUGAGGCGCGAAAGCGUGGGGAGCGAACAGGAUUAGAUACCCUGGUAGUC
rnacentral:rRNA from 1 species